AGAGUUUGAUCCUGGCUCAGAGCGAACGCUGGCGGCAGGCUUAACACAUGCAAGUCGAACGGGCACCUUCGGGUGUCAGUGGCAGACGGGUGAGUAACACGUGGGAACGUGCCUUUCGGUUCGGAACAACUCCGGGAAACUGGAGCUAAUACCGGAUACGCCCUUCGGGGGAAUGAUUUAUCGCCGAAAGAUCGGCCCGCGUCUGAUUAGCUUGUUGGUGAGGUAACGGCUCACCAAGGCGACGAUCAGUAGCUGGUCUGAGAGGAUGAUCAGCCACACUGGGACUGAGACACGGCCCAGACUCCUACGGGAGGCAGCAGUGGGGAAUAUUGGACAAUGGGCGCAAGCCUGAUCCAGCCAUGCCGCGUGAGUGAUGAAGGCCCUAGGGUUGUAAAGCUCUUUUGUCCGGGAAGAUAAUGACUGUACCGGAAGAAUAAGCCCCGGCUAACUUCGUGCCAGCAGCCGCGGUAAUACGAAGGGGGCUAGCGUUGCUCGGAAUCACUGGGCGUAAAGGGCGCGUAGGCGGACUCUUAAGUCAGAGGUGAAAGCCCAAGGCUCAAGCUUGGAAUUGCCUAACAUACUAAGAAUUCUAGAGACCGGAAGAGGUAAGUGGAACUGCCAGUGUAGAGGUGAAAUUCGUAAAUAUUCCCAAGACCGCCAGUGGCAAAGGCGGCUUAUUGGUUCGGUUCUGACCCUGAGGCCCCAAAGCGUGGGGAGCAAACGGG
rnacentral:rRNA from 1 species